rnacentral:rRNA from 1 species
CCUACGGGUGGCUGCAGUGGGGAAUAUUGGGCAAUGGAGGCAACCCUGACCCAGCAACGCCGCGUGAAUGAAGAAGGCUUUCGGAUUGUAAACUUCUUUUCGAAGGGAAGAAGACAGUACGGUUACUCUUGAAUAAGCCACCGCUAAAUACGGGCCAAAAGCCGGGGUAAUACGUAGGUGGCAAGCGUUUUACGGAUUGACUGGGCGUAAAGGGCGGGUAGGCGGGAGGACAAGUCAGAUGUGAAAGCCCGCGGCUCAACCUCGGAACUGCAUCUGAAACUGUUUGUCUUGAGUACAGGAGAGGUAAUCGGAAUUCCUUGUGUAGCGGUGAAAUGCGUAGAUAUAAGGAGGAACACCAGUGGCGAAGGCGGAUGACUGGACUGCAACUGACGGUGAGGCGCGAAAGCGUGGGGAGCAAACAGGAUUAGAUACCCGGGUAGUC